rnacentral:rRNA from 1 species
AUUGAACGCUGGCGGCAGGCCUAACACAUGCAAGUCGAGCGGAUGAAGGGAGCUUGCUCCUGGAUUCAGCGGCGGACGGGCGAGUAAUGCCUAGGAAUCUGCCUGGUCGUGGGGGAUAACGUCCGGACACGGGCGCUAAUACCGCAUACGUUCUGAGGGAGAAAGUGGGGGAUCUUCGGACCUCACGCUAUCUGCUGAGCCUAGGUCGGAUUAGCUAGUUGGUAGGGUAAAGGCCUACCAAGGCGACGAUCCGUAACUGAUCUGAGAGGAUGACCAGUCACACUGGAACUGAGACACGGUCCAGACUCCUACGGGAGGCAGCAGUGGGGAAUAUUGGGCAAUGGGCGAAAGCCUGAUCCAGCCAUGCCGCGUGUGUGAAGAAGGUCUUCGGAUUGUAAAGCACUGUAAGUUGGGAGGAAGGGCAGUAAGUGAAUACCUGGCUGUUUUGACGUUACCAACAGAGUAAGCACCGGCUAACUUCGUG